rnacentral:rRNA from 1 species
AACAGACCAACCCUCGAAGGCUUCUGCACCUCUCAGGAUAUUCUAGUCCAACAUCGAGGUCACAAACCUUUUUUUCGAUAAGAACUCUUAAAAAAGAUUAUGCUGUUAUCCCUACGGUAACUAAUUCUUUUAAUCAUAAUAAGUAUGGAUCUAAGUAUGGUCUAUAGAUAUAAGAAGAAGCUUUGUUUGUUCCUUAGUCGCCCCAACCAAAAAUUUUCUUUGAAAAGAAAUGUAUAUAAUACUUCCUUAAGGUCAAAGAUGAUUUUUAAGCUCGAUAGGGUCUUCUUGUCUUUUAAUUUUAUUUAGAUUUCUUCAUCUAUAAAAUAAAUUUCGGGGAUUUUUGCAGAGACAGGAGAGCCCUUGUCAAACCCUUCAUACUAGCCCUCAAUUAUAGGGCAAAUGAUUAUGCUACCUUUGCACGGUCAGAGUACCGCGGCCGUUGAAUGCGU